rnacentral:rRNA from 1 species
CUCGUAGGCGGUUUGUCGCGUCGGGAGUGAAAUCUUCGGGCUUAACUCGGAGCUUGCUUUCGAUACGGGCAGACUUGAGGCAUUCAGGGGGAGAACGGAAUUCCUGGUGUAGCGGUGAAAUGCGCAGAUAUCAGGAGGAACACCGGUGGCGAAGGCGGUUCUCUGGGAAUGUUCUGACGCUGAGGAGCGAAAGUGUGGGGAGCGAACA